rnacentral:rRNA from 1 species
GGGUUGUGAGGUUAAGCGACUAAGCGUACACGGUGGAUGCCCUGGCAGUCAGAGGCGAUGAAGGACGUGCUAAUCUGCGAUAAGCGUCGGUAAGGUGAUAUGAACCGUUAUAACCGGCGAUUUCCGAAUGGGGAAACCCAGUGUGUUUCGACACACUAUCAUUAACUGAAUCCAUAGGUUAAUGAGGCGAACCGGGGGAACUGAAACAUCUAAGUACCCCGAGGAAAAGAAAUCAACCGAGAUUCCCCCAGUAGCGGCGAGCGAACGGGGAGCAGCCCAGAGCCUGAAUCAGUGUGUGUGUUAGUGGAAGCGUCUGGAAAGGCGCGCGAUACAGGGUGACAGCCCCGUACACAAAAAUGCACAUACUGUGAGCUCGAUGAGUAGGGCGGGACACGUGGUAUCCUGUCUGAAUAUGGGGGGACCAUCCUCCAAGGCUAAAUACUCCUGACUGACCGAUAGUGAACCAGUACCGUGAGGGAAAGGCGAAAAGAACCCCGGCGAGGGGAGUGAAAAAGAACCUGAAACCGUG